rnacentral:rRNA from 1 species
UACGUAGGGACCAAGCGUUGUUCGGAUUUACUGGGCGUAAAGGGCGCAUAGGCGGCAUGACAAGUCACUUGUGAAAUCUCCGGGCUUAACUCGGAACGGCCAAGUGAAACUGUCAAGCUAGAGUGCAGAAGGGGCAAUCGGAAUUCCUGGUGUAGCGGUGAAAUGCGCAGAUAUCAGGAGGAACACCGAUGGCGAAGGCAGUGAUCUGGGCCGGUACUGACGCUGAGGAGCGAAAGCGUGGGUAGCAAACAGG